AUUGAACGCUGGCGGCAUGCUUUACACAUGCAAGUCGAACGGCAGCGCGGGCUUCGGCCUGGCGGCGAGUGGCGAACGGGUGAGUAAUGCAUCGGAACGUGCCCAGUAGUGGGGGAUAGCCCGGCGAAAGCCGGAUUAAUACCGCAUACGACCUGAGGGUGGAAGCGGGGGACCGAAAGGCCUCGCGCUAUUGUAGCGGCCGAUGCCGGAUUAGCUAGUUGGUGGGGUAAAGGCUUACCAAGGCGACGAUCCGUAGCUGGUCUGAGAGGACGACCAGCCACACGGGAACUGGGACACGGCCCAGACUCCUACGGGAGGCAGCAGUGGGGAAUUGUGGACAAUGGGGGCAACCCUGAUCCAGCCAUGCCGCGUGCGGGAAGAAGGCCUUCGGGUUGUAAACCGCUUUUGUUCGGGAAGAAAUCCUCUGGGCUAAUACCACGGGGGGAUGACGGUACCGGAAGAAUAAGCACCGGCUAACUACGUG
rnacentral:rRNA from 1 species